rnacentral:misc_RNA from 1 species
AACGCACGAGACCUGCGGACCUGCGGAGGGAUCAUUACCGAGUUAUCCAACUCCCAACCCCUGUGAAUUAUACCUUUAAUUGUUGCUUCGGCGGGACUUCGCGCCCGCCGGGGACCCAAACCCUCUGAAUUUUUUAAUAAGUAUCUUCUGAGUGGUUAAAAAAAUGAAUCAAAACUUUUAGCAAUGGAUCUCU